GCUGAGGGAUGGGAUGCGGCUGCUGCUCCACCAGUGGAAGGUGUUGUUUCUCCUGGUGUUCCGUCUGGUUGGGAGGCUGCUGCACCUGCUGCUCCCGCACCCUCAGGCUGGGAGUAAUUGGGAGCCGUGUGCUAGAGUUUCAAUUCAUGAGUCCAAAUGGUGUCUCUCUUAUCAGGCUGGGAGUAAUUGGGAGCCCGUGUGCUAGAGUUUCAAUUCAUGAGUCCAAAUAGUGUCUCUCUUAUCGGAAUUUGAUUUUUUUUUGGUCUGGGUAGUACAUUUAGAACCUCAAUGGUGCUUUUGUUUACCAUAUUUCAGCAUCCAGCGCUGAAUUAGUUGGCUUUGUGUUGUUUUUGUUUCUUC
rnacentral:lncRNA from 1 species